UACGUAGGUGGCAAGCGUUGUCCGGAAUUACUGGGUGUAAAGGGUGCGUAGGCGGGUAAUAAAGUCAGAUGUGAAAUGCCGGGGCUCAACUCCGGAGAUGCAUUUGAAACUUAUUAUCUUGAGUGAAGUAGAGGCAAGUGGAAUUCCCAGUGUAGCGGUGAAAUGCGUAGAUAUUGGGAGGAACACCAGUGGCGAAGGCGACUUGCUGGGCUUUAACUGACGCUGAGGCACGAAAGCAUGGGGAGCAAACAGGAUUAGAUACCCUGGUAGUCCAUGCUGUAAACGAUGGAUACUAGGUGUGGGGGGUAUUGACCCCUUCCGUGCCGGAGUUAACACAAUAAGUAUCCCACCUGGGGAGUACGACCGCAAGGUUGAA
rnacentral:rRNA from 1 species